GACGAACGCUGGCGGCGUGCUUAACACAUGCAAGUCGAACGGAAAGGCCAGUGCUUGCCCUGGUACUCGAGUGGCGAACGGGUGAGUAACACGUGUGUGAUCUGCCUUGCACUCUGGGAUAUGCUUGGGAAACUGGGUCUAAUACCGGAUAUGAACUGCUUUUAGGGUGGGUGCUGGAAAGUUUUUUCGGUGCGAGAUGAGCUCGCGGCCUAUCAGCUUGUUGGUGGGGUAAUGGCCUACUAAGGCGUAGACGGGUAGCCGGCCUGAGAGGGUGUACGGCCACAUUGGGACUGAGAUACGGCGCAGACUGCUACGGGAGGCAGCAGUGGGGAAUAUUGCACAAUGGGCGGAAGCGUGAUGCAGCGACGCCGCGUGGGGGAUGACGGCCUUCGGGUUGUAAACUCCUUUCGACAGGGACGAAGCGUAAGUGACGGUACCUGUAUAAGAAGCACCGGCUAACUACGUG
rnacentral:rRNA from 1 species